rnacentral:lncRNA from 1 species
GUGAACGUGACUUUUCUACAGUCACUACUCAUUUUUCCUGUUCAUCUCCCACUUGAUUAUGGGCAACUUAAUUUAUCUUAGUGCCGCAGUGGACACUGAGCCUGUGAACUUGUUGUUUCUGAAAAAGGAGUCAGUUGCUAUUGGAAUAUUAUUUAAGGAGACACAUGUCAAUGCCAUUCUACAAAAAUGACACUUGACCCUGGAACUCAGCUUGGCCAAACCUGCCUCCGAUCCAAAUUGUGUUCUCGGUUAUAACUUCAUCAAUGGCGUUUCUCCAAGGCCAAAGUCAAACCUCUGCCAGAGGAAGAUGUAAAUAUUCAGAGCAAAAUAUUGCAUACCUGGCCCACAUGAGUCACUUAUGAGGAAGAGGGAGUUAGUUCUAAGAAUAAUAAUUAUCUUUUGGGUGAGAUUUAAAUUCAGGUCCAGAGCAUCUCUUAGAAAACCAUGGAUACAAGCAGCUUGUUAACAGCAGUAUCAGGUUCUUGGAGUCUGUAUAAAAUCUGGCCCAUCGAUUCAAACAAAACUGGUAUGAAAUAGCAUUUCUCUUCAUGUCUGAGGUUCCAGUGGUGGUUGGCUUCCUUCUUAUUUCUUGCCGUGUGUGGCUGUUUUCUUGCCAGCCUCAGAUUAUGCACUUACGUGUUUUCCAAAAAAUCAAAACCAUUUCCAA